GACGAACGUUGGCGGCGUGCUUAACACAUGCAAGUCGAACGGAAAGGCCCUGCUUUUGUGGGGUGCUCGAGUGGCGAACGGGUGAGUAACACGUGAGUAACCUGCCCUUGACUUUGGGAUAACUUCAGGAAACUGGGGCUAAUACCGGAUAGGAGCUCCUGCUGCAUGGUGGGGGUUGGAAAGUUUCGGCGGUUGGGGAUGGACUCGCGGCUUAUCAGCUUGUUGGUGGGGUAGUGGCUUACCAAGGCUUUGACGGGUAGCCGGCCUGAGAGGGUGACCGGCCACAUUGGGACUGAGAUACGGCCCAGACUCCUACGGGAGGCAGCAGUGGGGAAUAUUGCACAAUGGGCGGAAGCCUGAUGCAGCAACGCCGCGUGCGGGAUGACGGCCUUCGGGUUGUAAACCGCUUUCGCCUGUGACGAAGCGUGAGUGACGGUAAUGGGUACAGAAGCACCGGCUAACUACGUGCCAGCAGCCGCGGUGAUACGUAGGGUGCGAGCGUUGUCCGGAUUUAUUGGGCGUAAAGGGCUCGUAGGUGGUUGAUCGCGUCGGAAGUGUAAUCUUGGGGCUUAACCCUGAGCGUGCUUUCGAUACGGGUUGACUUGAGGAAGGUAGGGGAGAAUGGAAUUCCUGGUGGAGCGGUGGAAUGCGCAGAUAUCAGGAGGAACACCAGUGGCGAAGGCGGUUCUCUGGGCCUUUCCUGACGCUGAGGAGCGAAAGCGUGGGGAGCGAACAGGCUUAGAUACCCUGGUAGUCCACGCUGUAAACGGUGGGUACUAGGUGUGGGGUCCAUUCCACGGGUUCCGUGCCGUAGCUAACGCUUUAAGUACCCCGCCUGGGGAGUACGGCCGCAAGGCUAAAACUCAAAGGAAUUGACGGGGCCCCGCACAAGCGGCGGAGCAUGCGGAUUAAUUCGAUGCAACGCGUAGAACCUUACCUGGGUUUGACAUGGAUCGGGAGUGCUCAGAGAUGGGUGUGCCUCUUUUGGGGUCGGUUCACAGGUGGUGCAUGGCUGUCGUCAGCUCGUGUCGUGAGAUGUUGGGUUAAGUCCCGCAACGAGCGCAACCCUUGUUCACUGUUGCCAGCACGUUAUGGUGGGGACUCAGUGGAGACCGCCGGGGUCAACUCGGAGGAAGGUGGGGAUGACGUCAAGUCAUCAUGCCCCUUAUGUCCAGGGCUUCGCGCAUGCUACAAUGGCUGGUACAGAGAGUGGCGAGCCUGUGAGGGUGAGCGAAUCUCGGAAAGCCGGUCUCAGUUCGGAUUGGGGUCUGCAACUCGACCUCAUGAAGUCGGAGUCGCUAGUAAUCGCAGAUCAGCAACGCUGCGGUGAAUACGUUCCCGGG
rnacentral:rRNA from 1 species